AUGUAACGACUACGCCUUGCUCGUAACAUGAGAGCCGACGGCGAUCCAUGGUUUGCAGAAUUCCUCAUGCGCAUAGGGAAUGGCACGGAGGAGACCGAUGAAGAAAAUAAUGUACAACUUCGAGAGGAUACUUAUAUGCUCUGCACAGUGAAGGACACUGACUUUGACAUGCUGAUUGAACACGUCUACCAUGAUCUAGAUGAGAACCAAACUGAUCCUACUUAUAUUACCACAAGGGCGAUACUGACGACUAGGAACGAGAAUGUUGAUAGGAUAAACAUGAGGAUGAUCGAAUGCUUCCCAGGUCAAGAGAUGAUAUAUCACAGCUUUGACCGCGCGGAGGAUGAUCCAUACAACUACUACCCCUCUGAGUUCUUGAACUCACUUACUUCCAACGGGCUACCGCCACAUAUUCUCAAGCUAAAGUUGAAAUAUCCAGUUAUACUACUGUGA
rnacentral:rRNA from 1 species